GAUGAACGCUGGCGGCGUGCCUAAUACAUGCAAGUCGAGCGAACGGACGAGAAGCUUGCGUCUCUGAUGUUAGCGGCGGACGGGUGAGUAACACGUGGAUGACCUACCUAUACGACUGGGAUAACUUCGGGAAACCGGAGCUAAUACCGGAUAAUAUUUUGAACCGCAUGGUUCCAAAGUGAAAGACGGUCUUGCUGUCACUUAUAGAUGGAUCCGCGCUGCAUUAGCUAGUUGGUAAGGUAACGGCUUACCAAGGCAACGAUGCAUAGCCGACCUGAGAGGGUGAUCGCCCACACUGGAACUGAGACACGGCCCAGACUCUGACGGGAGGCAGCAGUAGGGAAUCUUCCGCAAGGGGCGAGUGCCUGACGGAGCAACGCCGCGUGAGUGAUGAAGGUCUUCGGAUCGUAAAACGCUGUUAUUAGUGAAGAACAUAUGUGUAAGUAACUGUGCACAUCUUGACGGUACCUAAUCAGAAAGCCACGGCUAACUACGUG
rnacentral:rRNA from 1 species